GCUUCGGCUACCACUUACAGAUGGACCCGCGGCGCAUUAGCUAGUUGGUGAGGUAACGGCUCACCAAGGCAACGCGUAGCCGACCUGAGAGGGUGAUCGGCCACACUGGGACUGAGAACUCCUACGGGAGGCAGCAGUAGGGAAUCUUCCGCAAUGGACGAAAGUCUGACGGAGCAACGCCGCGUGGUGAUGAAGGUUUUCGGAUCGUAAAGCUCUGUUGUUAGGGACCGUUCGAAUAGGGCGGUACCUUGACGGUACCUAACCAGAAAGCCACGGCUAACUACGUGCCAGCAGCCGCGGUAAUACGUAGGUGGCAAGCGUUGUCCGGAAUUAUUGGGCGUAAAGGGCUCGCAGGCGGUUUCUUAAGUCUGAUGUGAAAGCCCCCGGCUCAACCGGGGAGGGUCAUUGGAAACUGGGGAACUUGAGUGCAGAAGAGGAGAGUGGAAUUCCACGUGUAGCGGUGAAAUGCGUAGAGAUGUGGAGGAACACCAGUGGCGAAGGCGACUCUCUGGUCUGUAACUGACGCUGAGGAGCGAAAGCGUGGGGAGCGAACAGGAUUAGAUACCCUGGUAGUCCACGCCGUAAACGAUGAGUGCUAAGUGUUAGGGGGUUUCCGCCCCUUAGUGCUGCAGCUAACGCAUUAAGCACUCCGCCUGGGGAGUACGGUCGCAAGACUGAAACUCAAAGGAAUUGACGGGGGCCCGCACAAGCGGUGGAGCAUGUGGUUUAAUUCGAAGCAACGCGAAGAACCUUACCAGGUCUUGACAUCCUCUGACAAUCCUAGAGAUAGGACGUCCCCUUCGGGGGCAGAGUGACAGGUGGUGCAUGGUUGUCGUCAGCUCGUGUCGUGAGAUGUUGGGUUAAGUCCCGCAACGAGCGCAACCCUUGAUCUUAGUUGCCAGCAUUCAGUUGGGCACUCUAAGGUGACUGCCGGUGACAAACCGGAGGAAGGUGGGGAUGACGUCAAAUCAUCAUGCCCCUUAUGACCUGGGCUACACACGUGCUACAAUGGACAGAACAAAGGGCAGCGAAACCGCGAGGUUAAGCCAAUCCCACAAAUCUGUUCUCAG
rnacentral:rRNA from 1 species